AUGGGACAGGGACCACAACAAACAGGGGCACCCACCAAGAACCCCCUGAACAGGAUGCUUUCAGCCCACAGGAUGCAGGGCCUUCCAGCUGGACAGAGAUGGGGUUCCACUCCUCUUUCAGUCCCAGCAUCCCAGCCAGAGGCUGGCACAGUCUGGGCACCAGACGAAGAUUGGUUGAGAAUGGCUGAAGAAGCCAGCCUGGAAAAAGCAAGUUUACAAUCGACCUUCCCUCAGCCACCAGAGGGCAGCACCACCCAAAAAAACAGCCUCCCCUCUUCCCAGCCCAGGGCUUCUAGGAGCUGCUUUCCUGGGUCCCAGGAAUCAACCAGUGGCGCCUUGCAGACUGGCUCUCUGGAAGAAUCCCUGCUUCAGGCCUGCCUGGGUUUCCGGUUGGGCAGUGGAUGGGAAGGGCCUUCUGGGUUUGCAGGUGGUGCGGGGAGGUGGAGCCACUUCCUGGAGCAGGAUGCCUAGCUUUUCAGAAUUCACAGGGACUCUGGUCAUUGGACAGAAUUUUUAAAACAGGAGCUGCUCCAAAAACUCCAGGCCAGUGUGUGGCUGGAGUCAGGGUCCUGGCGAGCUGGGGAGGGGUGGGAGCCGGGAAGAUAGAGGCCUCCUUUUGCAUCUUCCUGUGCUUCUGGCCACUUUCUCUCCCAAACUCCAUGCCUCACCUUGAGUUGAGACUCUCACUCCCUCAGUCACUCAUUCACUCAUCAAACGUGGACUACACCACCUUUCUGUACCAGGUCCCGUGGUGGGCACCAGGGGCAAGCGGUGACCUGAGAGCAUCAAUUAACACUGAGAGAAGGCCAUUUUUUUUUUCUUAAGAUACAUUUGCAUUUCUAACAUCAAGAUGCAUUUUUCCAAUUGAUGCAAACAUUUAAUAAAGCUUCACACACACACAUCCCACCCCAUCAAAAACCUGAAAUGAUGCAUCUUGCAAUUGACGAUAUUUCCUUUUUUUUUUUUUUCUUUUCAGGGCCAAACCCUCAGCAUAUAGCAGUUCCCAGGCUAUGGGUCUAAUCGCAGCUACAGCUGCCAGCCUACGCCACAGCUCACGGCAAUGUCGGAUCUUUAAUCCAACUGAGCGAGGCCAGGAACCUCGAACCUGCAACCUCAUGGUUCCUAGUCAGAGUUGUUUCCGCUGGGCCACCACAGGGACUCCCUGAUGAUAUUUUCAAAUCCAGGAAAUAGGCAUGAGUGCAGAACAAGAGAGGUGCCCAGCUGGGGGCAGGGGAAUGGGGAAGGCCACCUAAAGGAGGUAGCUCUUAAAGAAGGAGCAGGUGUUCGCCAGGGAGGAGGGAAGAGCAAAGGCAAAGAGGUAACAACAGAUGGGUGGGCUGGUGGGGGUCCCAGGGCAUAGAGGGUGGUGGCAGCACAAGCCUGAGAGAGGAGCAGGACCCAGUCAUCCAAGACCUUGACUUGCAGGUUAAGGAACUUGUUCACCUGAUCUGCUUUGGGCAGAAUGGGGUGGGGCCUGAAGGCCCUUCUGAUUCCCCACCCUCAGCAGCCCAAGAAGGCCUGGACCACUGCUUCUCAGUCAGACCUAGAUUUGGGAGAAGCGUCUCUGGUCAGGGCCUGCAUCAGCGCAGCAGCCACAGGGAUCCUCAGAAGCAGACAGGUUGUUGGGUUUUUUUUUAAUAAUUUUUAUUUUUAUUAAAGUAUUGUCAUUUACAAUGUUGUGUUAAUUUCUGCUGUAUAGCAAAUUUAUUCCUAUAUAUAUAUAUUUUAUAAAGAUAUUCCUUUCCAUUAUGGGUUUUUUUGGGGUUUUUUUUUGUCUUUUUAGGGCUCCACCCGUGGCAUGUGGAGGUUCCCAGCCUAGGGGUCGAAUUGGAACUACACCUGCCGGCCUACACCACAGCAAUGCUGGAUCCCAGCCACAUCUGUGACCUACACCGCAGCUCAUGGCAAUGCCGGAUCCUUAAGCCACUGAACAAGGCCAGAGAAUGAAACUGCAUCCUCAUGAAUGCUAGUCAGAUUCAUUUCCGCUGUGCCACGGUGGGAACUCCCUGUUCUAUUAUUUUAAUGGCCACACUCACAGCAUAUGAAUGUUCCUGGCCAGAGACUGAAUCCAAGCAGCAGCUUUGAGCCACAGCUACAACAACACCAGAUCCUUUAACCCACUGUGCCAAGCCAGGGAUCAAACCUGCACCUCUGCAGUGACCCAAGCUGCUGCGGUGGGAUUCUUAGCCCAUUGUGCCACAGUGGGAGCUCCUCUGUUAUGGUUUAUCAUAGGACACUGAAUUAUAGUUCUCUGUGCUAUACAGUAAAAUUUUGUUUGUUGCUUAUCCCCUCCAUGUAUUAUAGCUUACCUUUUUUUCUUGUUAUCUUUUUUUUUGGUCACAGCGGGCAGUGGCUUGAUGUGGGAUCUCAGUUCCCAGAUCAGGGAUCGAAUCCGGGCUGCAGGGGUGAAAGCACCAAGUCCAAACCACUGGACCACCAGGGAACUCCCCAGAAGCAGAUGGGUUUAAGAAGAGCCUCAGGAGGCCAGAUAGGAGGGCGUGGCGACAGAUCAGGGUGGGAGGAGGGAGAGGGUCAAGGAUGAUGUCUGCAGUUCUAGCUUGGGCAUCUGGGUGGAUGGUGGUGCCCCCACUGAGAAGGGGACCUCGCCAUCUUCAAGUGAUCUUGCCAUCUUCCAGGCUCUGCCAAGGCUGAUUUCAGAAGGUAGGCUGAGAAGUGCACAGAGUCUCCUGCUUUGCAAAAGGGUACUGGUUGUUGGCCCACAAACUGGCGUGAAGCUUGGGCCCCAAGUACCUAGGACGGGGAGGGGAUCUUGUCACCUUGGAAAGCAGAGAGAGGCUCUAGAGUGGCAUGUUGUGAUAGCGGGUGCUGCUUGGAGACACAUGGGUUCCUGUCCCCAUGGGCUCUCAGCAGAGUAAGUGCCCCUGGCCAGGCAGCACUGUGACCCCCCAUGCCCUCCCAGGUCCUGGGGGUAGUGGGGCAAGGGGGGCGAUGCAGGGUCCUUGGUCCUGAGUGGGAGUCCUGGGGCCAGGAUUGGGUCUGGAGCAGGAGGAGUGAGGAUUGGGACUCAUGGAGGUCUGGAGUCUGACUGCAUUUUUCAGCUCCCAGGUCCAUGGCAACCUGUUCAAUGUUCUAGGUCCAGUCUCAGUCCCAGUUGGAUGUCCUGGUCCUGGGUCCAUGUUCAGAGUUUUUUGGGGUUUUUUUGUCUUUUCGCCAUUUCUUGGGCCGCUCCUGCAGCACAUGGAGGUUCCCAGGCUAGGGGUCUAAUCAGAGCCGUAGCCACCACCCUAUGCCACAGCUCAUGGCAACGCCGGAUAAUUAACCCACUGAGCAAGGCCAGGGACCGAACCCGAAACCUCAUGGUUCCUAGUCGGAUUCGUUAACCACUGCGCCACGACGGGAACUCACCAUGUUCAGAGUUUUUGAUGUUGGGUCUAGAACCCUGGUCUGCAGUGAAUGGCCCACAUCUGGGUCUGGGCCCUGCUCUCAAGUCCAGGGUUUAGGGUCAUGAUAGCGGUCUGAGUCUGAGGGUGGGAUCAAGGUUGGGGUCAGCAACCAAGGUGGGAUGGAGGUCGUGGUCCGUGGGUGGCAUCAAGUGUUUGAGGUCAUGGUCCACAAUCUGGGUCUGGGGUCAGUGGUAGGGUCUGGAUGUGAAGGGCGGGGGGGUGGGCUCAGAGUGUUGAUCCCAGGCCAUGGUCAGAGUCUGAGGUGGUGGUCCAAGGUCUAGGUCUGAGGUCCUGUUCGGAGUCUGGGGUCAGGAAUGUUAUCCGGGUCUGCGGUGCGAUUUCCGACUGUGUCCAAGGUCAGGGGUCAGGGGUUACAGCCAGGCUCUGAGACCCAAGUCCCUGGGAUUACGUUCUGAAACGCCAGUCUGCGGUCCCGGCCAUGGCCUCUUGUGGAGUCUGGGAUCCGAGCUGCGGUCCAGGUCUGGGUCUGGGGGCUUCUUCGGGCCAGGUCCCUGCCGUGUUCCACGUCCGGGGUCAGGGUCUCGGCUGAAGGUUGGGGUCCGAGAUCCGAGGCCACGGGGCGGAGCUGAGACGGGGUCCGGGUGGCCCCGGGGGUCAGUCUCAGGCCACCCGC
ensembl:lncRNA